rnacentral:rRNA from 1 species
CAACGAGCGCAACCCUUGUCUUUAGUUGCCAGCAUUAAGUUGGGCACUCUAAAGAGACUGCCGGUGUCAAACCGGAGGAAGGUGGGGAUGACGUCAAGUCCUCAUGGCCUUUAUGACCAGGGCUACACACGUACUACAAUGGCAUAGACAAAGGGCAGCGACACCGCGAGGUGAAGCGGNAUCCCAUAAACUAUGUCUCAGUCCGGAUUGGAGUCUGCAACUCGACUCCAUGAAGUUGGAAUCGCUAGUAAUCGUAGAUCAGCAUGCUACGGUGAAUACGUUCCCGGGCCUUGUACACACCGCCCGU